rnacentral:rRNA from 1 species
AACGAACGCUGGCGGCAUGCCUAACACAUGCCAGUCGAACGAGACCGUCGGGUCUAGUGGCGCACGGGUGCGUAACGCGUGGGAACCUGCCCUUAAGCUCGGAAUAACUCCCCGAAAGGGGUGCUAAUACCGGAUAAUGUCUUCGGACCAAAGAUUUAUCGCCUUUGGAUGGGCCCGCGUUGGAUUAGCUAGUUGGUAGGGUAAAAGCCUACCAAGGGGACGAUCCAUAGCUGGUCAGAGAGGAUGGUCAGCCACACUGGUACGAGGACACGGCCCAGACUCCUACGGGAGGCAGGCGUGGGGAAUAUAGGAAUAUGGGCGAAAGGCUGAUCCAGCAAUGCCGGGUGAGUGAUGAAGGCCUUAGGGUUGUAAAGCUCUUUUACCCGGGAUGAUAAUGACAGUACCGGGAGAAUAAGCACCGGCUAACUCCGUG